rnacentral:rRNA from 1 species
UUCGCAAUGCCCGAAAGGGUGACGAAGCGACGCCGCGUGCGGGAAGAAGGCCUUCGGGUUGUAAACCGCUGUCGGGAGUUAGGAAAUGCAAGGAUGUUAAUAGCAUCUUUGCUUGACUAAGGCUCCGGAGGAAGCCACGGCUAACUCUGUGCCAGCAGCCGCGGUAAUACAGAGGCGGCAAGCGUUGUUCGGAAUUAUUGGGCGUAAAGAGCACGUAGGCGGCCUUGUAAGUCAGUUGUGAAAGCCUUCUGCUUAACGGAAGAACAGCAUCUGAUACUGCAAGGCUAGAGUGCGGAAGGGGAGAGUGGAACUUCUGGUGGAGCGGUGAAAUGCGUAGAUAUCAGAAGGAACGCCGGCGGCGAAAGCGGCUCUCUGGCCCGUAACUGACGCUGAGUGUGCGAAAGCUAGGGGAGCAAACGGGAUUAGAUACCCCGGUAGUCCUAGCCGUAAACGAUGGGCACUAAGUAGAGGGGUUUU